rnacentral:misc_RNA from 1 species
GAUGAAGAACGCAGCGAAAUGCGAUAAGUAAUGUGAAUUGCAGAAUUCAGUGAAUCAUCGAAUCUUUGAACGCACAUUGCGCCCCCUGGUAUUCCGGGGGGCAUGCCUGUCCGAGCGUCAUUACAACCCUCAAGCUCUGCUUGGUGUUGGGCCCCGCCGCCCCGGCGGGCCCUAAAGUCAGUGGCGGUGCCAUCCGGCUCCGAGCGUAGUAAUUCUUCUCGCUCUGGAGGUCCGGUCGUGUGCUCGCCAGCAACCCCCAAUUUUUUUCAGGUUGACCUCGGAUCAGGUAGGGAUACCCGCUGAACUUAAGCAUAUCAAUAAGCGGAGGA